CUGCCUUGUACUGGAGUAUAGCCCAGGGAAACUUGGAUUAAUCCUCCAUAGUAUAUAGAAUUGGCAUCAUUUCUAUAUUAAAGGUUACGGUACAAGAUGAGCAUGCGUCCUAUUAGCUAGUAGGUGUGGUAACGGCACACCUAGGCGACGAUAGGUAGGGGUCCUGAGAGGGAGAUCCCCCACACUGGUACUGAGACACGGACCAGACUCCUACGGGAGGCAGCAGUGAGGAAUAUUGGACAAUGGGCGAAAGCCUGAUCCAGCCAUGCCGCGUGCAGGA
rnacentral:rRNA from 1 species